AUUGAACGCUGGCGGCAGGCCUAACACAUGCAAGUCGAGCGAGCGGCGGACGGGUGAGUAAUGUAUGGGGAUCCGCCCGCUAGAGGGGGACAAUUACUGGAAAUGGUGGCUACUACCGCAUACUAUCGGAUGAAUCCAUCUGGGAUUAGUUAGUAGGUGGGGUAAAGGACCACCAAGGCGUCCAUCUCUACCUGGUCUGAGAGGAUGAUCAGCCACGCUGGGACUGAGACACGGCCCAGACUCCGACGGGAGGAAGCAGUGGGGAAUAUUGGGCAAUGGGCGGAAGCCUGAUGCAGCCAUGCCGCGUGUAUGAAGAAGGCCUUCGGGUUGUAAAGUACUUUCAGUCGGGAGGCGUUACCGACAGAAGAAGCACCGGCUAACUCCGUGCCAGCAGCCGCGGUAAUUC
rnacentral:rRNA from 1 species